rnacentral:rRNA from 1 species
AGUGGCGGACGGGUGAGUAACGCGUAGGAAUCUAUCCAUGGGUGGGGGAUAACUCUGGGAAACUGGAGCUAAUACCGCAUGAUACCUGAGGGUCAAAGGCGUAAGUCGCCUGUGGAGGAGCCUGCGUUCGAUUAGCUUGUUGGUGGGGUAAUGGCCUACCAAGGCGAUGAUCGAUAGCUGGUCUGAGAGGAUGAUCAGCCACACUGGGACUGAGACACGGCCCAGACUCC